AUUGAACGCUGGCGGCAUGCUCUACACAUGCAAGUCGAACGGUAACAGGCCGCAAGGUGCUGACGAGUGGCGAACGGGUGAGUAAUGCAUCGGAACGUGCCCAGUCGUGGGGGAUAACGCAGCGAAAGCUGUGCUAAUACCGCAUACGAUCUAUGGAUGAAAGCGGGGGACCGUAAGGCCUCGCGCGAUUGGAGCGGCCGAUGUCAGAUUAGGUAGUUGGUGGGGUAAAGGCCUACCAAGCCGACGAUCUGUAGCUGGUCUGAGAGGACGACCAGCCACACUGGGACUGAGACACGGCCCAGACUCCUACGGGAGGCAGCAGUGGGGAAUUUUGGACAAUGGGCGCAAGCCUGAUCCAGCAAUGCCGCGUGCAGGAAGAAGGCCUUCGGGUUGUAAACUGCUUUUGUACGGAACGAAACGGUCUGGGUUAAUACCCCGGGCUAAUGACGGUACCGUAAGAAUAAGCACCGGCUAACUACGUGCCAGCCGCCGCAGUAACAC
rnacentral:rRNA from 1 species